UCUUUUGUGAGAUGAACAUUAGAGAGAGGUGGAAGAGUUAAGCAUUACAUAAGUGUUUAUUGUUUUUUAUUUAAUUUUUUGUUUUCCUUUUUUAUAUACACCGCCACAUGUCACUGUGGGGUUGGUGACAUGAGAAAUUUGAAUGUGUGAGGGUGGUGCGUCGCCGCUCUUUUGUCCAACAUCUUUUCCUUUCUUUUAUUUUUUAUUGUUUUAAUUUUUAUGUUUGUUUUAUUUUUGUUUAUUAUUUUUUUCUUAUUUUCUUUUUAUGUUAUUAGGGUUUAUUUUAUUUUAGUCCUCUUGGGCCCAAGUUACUUUGCAUGUUUGCACCCUUGUACAAUUGUUU
rnacentral:lncRNA from 1 species